AUAAUUAGCACCUUACUUAAAAUUAUUUUAUUUUUAUGAGAAGAAUCUUUAAUUUUAGUAUUUUUAAGGAAAAAAAUUUUUUUGUUAUAGUAGAUUAGUACUGUCAAGGAAUUGGUGAAAUAUAUAAAAAACUAUUUUUUUUAAAGUAUAUUUUAUUUAUAGUACCUUUUGUAUCAGGGUUGAUCAAAUGAAUUAAUUUAUAUUUAACUCUCGAUUUUAAAUGAGCUAAUUUAUUAUGUUAGUUAUUGUUGCACAACUAUUAAUAAUAUAAAUUAGAGGAGAAAUUUUAUUCGAAUUUGAAGGUAUCUAGUUUUUUAAGAAAUAAAUUUAAUUUAGCCUUUAUAUUUAACUAGAACAUUUAUUUUAUAUGUUAUAUAUAAAGUUAAAAUUUUUAGGGGAUAAGCUCUAACAAGGUUUAUAAAAGUUGAAUUUAAUUUAUUGUUGUAGGAUUAGAAAUUUCCAUCGUUAGUAAGUAUGUUAUAAUUUGUUUUUAUAAUUAAUUAAUUUUCUUUUUUUAAUAUUUUAUUAAAAUACCAUAAUAAAUGUUUAAUUUUGGGAAAUAAUGAUUAAAUUAGUAUAGAAUUGUGUUUAUAUAAUUGUAAUUUUUAUAAUAAAAUAAGGAACUCGGCAAAAAUAGUUCUCGCCUGUUUAACAAAAACAUGUCCUUUUGUAAUUGAUAGAAGGUCUAACCUGCCCAGUGAUUAAAUUUAACGGCCGCGGUAUACUGACCGUGCAAAGGUAGCAUAAUCAUUAGUCUUUUAAUAGAGGGCUGGAAUGAAAGGUUUGACGAGGAACUGACUGUCUCAUUUUAUUUGUAUUAAAAUUUAAUUUUUUAGUCAAAAAGCUAAAAUGUUAUUGGAAGACGAGAAGACCCUAUAGAUCUUUAUAUAAUUUAUUUAAUUAUUUUUAUAUUAAUAUUUUUAUAUUAAAUUGUAUUUUGUUGGGGUGACAAAAAUAUAUAAAUAACUUUUUUAUUUAUUUACCAUUAGUUUAUGAAUAAUAGAUCCAUUAUUAGUGAUUAAUAGUCUAAGUUACCUUAGGGAUAACAGCGUAAUCCUCCUCCAGAGUUCAUAUUUACAGGAUGGGCUUGCGACCUCGAUGUUGGAUUAAGAUAAUAAUUAGGUGUAGCCGCUUAAUAUAUAGGUCUGUUCGACCUUUAAAGC
rnacentral:rRNA from 1 species